rnacentral:rRNA from 1 species
UACGUAGGGACCGAGCGUUGUCCGGAUUCAUUGGGCGUAAAGAGCUCGUAGGCGGCUGUUCAAGUCGAACGUGAAAACUCGGAGCUCAACUCCGAGCCUGCGUUCGAUACUGGACGGCUAGAGUCUGGUAGGGGGAUCUGGAAUUCCUGGUGUAGCGGUGGAAUGCGCAGAUAUCAGGAGGAACACCGGUGGCGAAGGCAGCGUCCUGGCUCGCAACUGACGCUCAUGUGCGAAAGCUAGGGGAGCGAACGGG